rnacentral:rRNA from 1 species
CUAAUACCGCAUAAGAUUACAGUACCGCAUGAUACAGUGAUCAAAGGAGCAAUCCGCUGAAAGAUGGGCUCGCGUCCGAUUAGAUAGUUGGUGAGGUAACGGCUCACCAAGUCGACGAUCGGUAGCCGGACUGAGAGGUUGAACGGCCACAUUGGGACUGAGACACGGCCCAGACUCCUACGGGAGGCAGCAGUGGGGAAUAUUGCACAAUGGGCGAAAGCCUGAUGCAGCAACGCCGCGUGAGGGAAGACGGUUUUCGGAUUGUAAACCUCUGUUUUCGGUGACGAAUAAAUGACGGUAACCGAGUAGGAAGCCACGGCUAACUACGUGCCAGCAGCCGCGGUAAUACGUAGGUGGCAAGCGUUAUCCGGAAUUACUGGGUGUAAAGGGAGCGCAGGCGGGAUAGCAAGUCAGUUGUGAAAACUAUGGGCUCAACCCAUAGAUUGCAGUUGAAACUGUUAUUCUUGAGUGGAGUAGAGGCAAGCGGAAUUCCGAGUGUAGCGGUGAAAUGCGUAGAUAUUCGGAGGAACACCAGUGGCGAAGGCGGCUUGCUGGGCUCUAACUGACGCUGAGGCUCGAAAGUGUGGGGAGCAAACAGGAUUAGAUACCCUGGUAGUCCACACUGUAAACGAUGAUAGCGAGGUGUGGGGGGUCUGACCCCCUCCGUGCCGG